CCCAAAAUUUAUACCAACACAAGUGACCAUAUAAUUCAAUCCAUAAACUAGCUUAUACAUGCCAUAUUUACAUUAUUUACAUAAGUUCCAAAAGUACCAAAUAUCGUCUGGAUAGUGUGAUAGCAAAUCUUCGACCUAAGAAAAAGAACGAAGUAAGCAUUAAGCUUAGUAAGCCCAUAUAAUGUAAAAUUAAACUUAUAAAUUUAACAUUAAGUGUUAAAGAAAUUAAAACCAACUCAUUCGUCCACAAAGCCUAUUCACAUAUAUGUCAUUCGUUC
rnacentral:lncRNA from 1 species